UUAGCAGGGGUCUGGUCGUGGCCAGCAAGAGACAGACUUUAAGCGCACUUCCCCAAGCCGCCUCGGGCCAGGGGCUCACCUGUCGCCCCACCCACCGCUUUCCCUGGAGCUCUUGGGUCCUCGGGUGGGGUUGACACCGGAGGGAGGGCUGACUUGGGAUGGGGAUGGGCUGCGGAUCGUCUCUUCCUCGCGACGCCCCGGGGCAGCAUAUGGGAACUAAGGAAGAAUUCGUUAGAGUCAGAAAGAAGGACUUGGACCGGCUGACAACUGAAGUGAUGCAAAUGCGAGACUUCUUGCCCAGAAUACUAAAUGGGGAGGUCCUGGAAAGCUUCCAGAAACUAAAGAUUUUAGAAAAAAACUUGGAAGUGCAGGAAGGAGAAUUGGAGCAGCUGAAACUGGACCGCGAGCAUUUCAAAGCCCGGCUGGAGAGCUUGCAGGCGGACAGCGGGAGGGAGCAGAAGGAGAAACUGGCUCUUCGACAGCAGCUUAAUGAAGCAAAGCAGCAGCUCUUGCAGCAGGCAGAAUACUGUACAGAAAUGGGAGCAGCCGCCUGCACCCUGCUGUGGGGCGUCACCAGCAGCGAGGAGGUGGUCAGAGCCAUCCUGGGAGGAGAUAAAGCUUUGAAGUUUUUCAACAUCACUGGCCAGACAAUGGAGAGUUUUGUGAAGUCGCUGGAUGGGGAUGACAAGGAACUUGAUUCUGAUGAGAAUCAGUUUGUUUUUGCUUUGGCUGGAAUUGUAACAAAUGUUGCUGCCAUAGCCUGUGGCCGCGAGUUCCUGGUCAGUUCCAGUCGGGUGCUCUUGGACACCAUGCUGCAGCUGCUUGGGGACUUGAAGCCAGGACAGUGCACCAAACUCAAAGUGUUAAUGCUGAUGUCCCUGUACAAUGUGAGCAUCAAUUUGAAAGGCUUAAAGUACAUCAGUGAGAGCCCUGGCUUCAUCCCUUUGCUGUGGUGGCUUUUGAGUGGUUGAAUACUUGAUCAAGCAGCUUUUCCUCUCUGGAUCGUGGAGUCGGAGGGAGUUGCUGGGCCUCGCACAGGCAGAGUGGCAGGUUCAGGAGUGGAGCCACUGGAUGAGAAGACCCAGCUGAGUCACGGCUGUGCGUCCAUCGCGUGUGCUCCCUGUCCGGCCGCUUCAAGGCUGGUACAAGAAGAGGGACAGACAUCGCCAGUGACCGGCAGCAGGAAUGGCAGGCUUGCAUCAUCAGACCUGCAGGAGGUGCCACAGGUGGGAGCGCCCCACAGUGGAACAGCGUGUGCCCGGCAUAUACUGGGCCCCAGCUUUGAUCCCCUGCAUCAAGAACCAAAACCAAAACAGAACCCAGAAGGGAUUGGCCUCGUCACACACUCUAGACUCAGCCAUCUCUGAAAAAAACCACCUGUGACCACCUGAAGCUUUGAGGGGACGUCGAGAACCAAGCCAUAACACAAGCCUUAAUGAGAAGCUCACGUGGUUGUAAGCAGGAUCAAUCAAGAGAGAGCUACAGCUGGACGUAGCACCGUGAGGAGGGCAGAAUAAAGAUGGAGGAGGUCCUCGGAGCUGCCGCCUUCAAGGCACCGGUGUGACUGACAGCCUCUUGCUGUAAGGGAAGACAUGUACCAGCCAGACCCGUCUGCCCUUCCCUCGUGUUUCAAGAGCUAGGGUGAAAUAAAGACAUUUCGGACAAACGAAACUCAGAGUCGGCUCCCGCUGAGUGGUUCCAAGGGGUGUCCUGGAGGAGGGUGGCCGGGGGAGACCCGACCUUGUAAGAGUGAUGGUCUCAGAGGGGCUGACCUGUGCUGGGUCUGAAGAGCUAUCACUGCAGACCCAGCAGGAGCCAGGGACAGAGCGGAAACACCAGGGGCAGAGACGCGCAGGCUGGGAGGAAGCAAGUGCGCAUGUGGUAUUGAGGUCCUUCCAGGCAGAGAGGAAAGCAGAGGUUCGCGUUAGGCUCCUACAGUUACGGCUUUGAAUUUUCUAGCAUGGCUUGGGGUGAUAGAAGAGAGUGUGUUCCUACA